AGCUCCUAUCUCCUCCCCCCAUGCCAAUCAUGCUUAAACAUACUCUGUGUUUGUUGGAGGACAAGUUGAUUCUAGCUGUAUGUCUGAGCUACAGCCCUCAUCCUCGUGGAGGAGCAAAAGCAUGGAGAGAGGUGAAAAUGGGGAGCUGAGUUGACCCAUUACCUUCGAAGGAGUGUUACUUACGGCCUGAAAAGCCCCAUGGAGGACCAGGAGCUCCUUUGGAGGAUCAGGAACUGUGGGGAGAGCAAAAGAGAGACUCAAUUUGAAAAAGUAAUCCUUCGGAAAGCUAUAGUAUCUCAGUUUCUGCUCCAGACUGUCUUUGCUAUGGCACAUGCCCGACCUGGGAGCUGGUGAGCACUGCCUCUCAGAUCUCGGGGCAAAGGUCAGUAGCUGCAUAGUGGCCUCUGGAUUCUUCAGAUACCGACCCUCAUCAUGUGGGGAGGCAUUAACCUUUGGCCCUGAGGUGAAAGCAACACAGGCUUGGAGAUGAGGGUCCCAUAGUGACCUGUCCCCGUUGGUGACUGCACUUCCAGCUUCGAACCUCUACUGGGGAAGCUCUUCCUUUGAAGUACAUCUCACUUGGGCAGGAGCCAACGUUACGAGGAGGAAACUAAUAGCUUGUAAAGAGAACUCCACAGGGUAUCAGAGGAAAUUUCUAGACCUGCUGGGAUCAGAAUUGGUGCAGAUCCACCUCAGUGGCUUUCCCCAGGCAGUCAGAAAGUCAAAGACAGGCUGCAACCAGGCCUGAAUGGACCCGUUCUUCUCAGCCAACCGCUAACACUUAAGGAUUUAUGAAAAAUUUCCUUGGCAGUAUGUGCUUGGUGGUAAGCUUGCUCUGAGGGAAUGUGCUCACAGAAGGACAACUCUUUGGCAAAAUUAUCUUUGAGGCUGUGCCAAUAACAGCUAGAGGAACUCAGGUGCAGCUCCAAAAAGGCUGCUACCCCCUUAUGAGGACCAUUGCAACAGGCAGACAUGACACUAUUCCCAGAUGGCUUCAGAAAGAUCUAAGGAAUUUCAACCAAGGAACGAGCACUUCUCUGAUAAAGGAGGCUUUUGGCAGCUGGGGAUUUCUGCACAGAAGCCAUCCCUGAGACACCUCUAUGACUGGAGCUGCAAAAGGUGAUGGCAAAAGGUUUGGCACUGCACUGGCUGUAAUGCUUCUGGGGUCGUGCUGGAGGGAAGUCCUUGGCCAGGGAGGAGUGUGAAGUCACACCGGAAGAUUCUCUCGGAGGAGGACUGAAGAGGCUGUAGCAUUUCUAGUGAGUGUUUACAUCCACUUCUCCAGACAACAAGCAAAGACAGAAAUGAUCAAAGGAGCUGAUACAUAUCAGAGGGACUGCCAUCCACAAUUAUCAAGACUACUAUGUGCUUUCUUCAAGGUUAGGAGAUGGACCAGACGAAUAUAUUAGGUGGCUGAAAUCCCUGAAGCUGUGACGAAGUGUACAAGUUAUUACAAGCUUUGGUGGCUAACUUCUUUGGCUAAUGGAUUACACAGUGAACUACCUGAAUCUGUUACACAUCUGUGAACACUAUUUCCCUAGAUUGCAAUACCAGCCCAAUUCUUUGGUCUGCUGGAAGUCAUCCUAAGAGGUUACUUGACAUCGGCCUCGGGAAUGCCUUGUGGAACUUCAGCACUCAGCUCUUACUCCAUCAUCACAGCCUUGCAGAGAGGGGUGGAUGGCUGCAUCUGGGAGUCCAUCUAAAGUCGAACAGCCCACCACCUCAUCUUUCACCAGAGUCAGCAGGGAGCACAGGAUGUAAUUGUUGUGCAUUCUCUGAAUGGCAGCCCCCAAGAAUUCCCCCCAAGAUGAUCUAGUGGAGACCAACGUGUGUCAGGAAGAGAAUACUUACUAGAGAUCUUAGGAAGACCCACCUGAGAGGAAUGAUGGUGAGAAGUCUCAACUGUGUCCACUAGAAACAAGAACAAAUGAUGGAAAGGAGUGGAAGACAUGAACUUCCACAACUAACAACUGCACUAUCUGCACAGAUUUCUGCUAUUUGAGCUAAUAGAGUGCCACUACCAGCCACGGGUUGUCAUCCUCUGAGUAAAGCACUCCCAGAAGAGGAUUGCUGAUGGUCACUGGUGAGAAACACAAACUGAGGUUUUGCUUGUUGGCUGGGGUGACAAGUAAUCAGAUGGAUUCCAGACAUAAGGUAACCCACUGCGUCUCCUCCAGCCUCUUGCCAUCCUUGUCCUUUGCUUUCCCCACUUCAUCCCAGGACCCCACAUCCCCACACUCUCCUACAGAAAGUCACAGUAGAUCCCAGCUCCUGAUCUCCCAAUCUGGUUAGCUGUUUGCUCAUUCCCCAGUAUGACACUCUUUGCUUCCAAUCUACCUGGCUGGACCACCCUACCUCCCCAAUUCCUCCUCCUGACCCCAUUCCUCAUCUAGCACAGCUUUGGGAUCCAGUAUAUCUGCCUGAGAAUUUCUUCACAGUGCAUUGGAAUAACUGUCUUCUGUACUCUUGAUUCGGACAUCUAGGAUGCUGGGACCAGAGAAGGGCAGACCCCUGCUUUCCUUUUGGUUGCCUAGACCUCUUACAGCUUAUGGUAGCAGAUCCCCAUCCAUAGCAAAUGAGACCGUUUAGGAAAGUUUGCUGUUGAAACCAAAGUCAUCUUUAUUAAACAUGCACCAUGAGUUUUCACAUACUUAUUUAAUGAGGACAAAAGCAACAUGUCAUUGACACAAAAGCUGUCUUCUGUCAGAUUUUAAGUCCUUGCACCAAACUUGCAAGAUUUAUCUUUUGUCACAGAAGACACCAGAAUUUUUAACUGCAGCACAUUUUCCCUACAGCCUGACAGACACGUCAGACAUGUCUGAGUUGUUUUAUGCUAGUUUCCCUUGGGAAUGUGUGUCAAGUAAAAAGUCCUGAACUAUACAAUUUCAUAUUGUUUAGACAAGACAACAGCAUUAAUAAAUUUAAUCUCAGAAAAAGCACUCUAAUAUCUUUAGUGGGCACUAUGCAGACUUUCAUUCCUUAGAGAAGAUAAGGCAUGUCCUUGCAAACAAGAAAAAUUAGAUCCUGUUGUGCCAAGGCCUAUGCUCUAAGUAGUUCAAGGUGAUCGGUGUAGAGUUCAGAUUGUUACAUAAAACAAUUUGCAAAGAUCAGUAAAAAUUAAACCCAAAAUGACAGCUUUUUCAAGAAAACAAGACCCAGUGAUAAGCCCCAAGAACUAUGCUGAAAUCAUGUGCAGUAAAGAUGAAAAAUGUGAGACUAGACUCAGUGGGACUGUGGCAAAGUAGUAGAGAGAAGACUCUUGGUCAAGUAUGAGAAGUAUGACAGUGAUUAUUUGGAUUAUUAUACUUAGAUUUAUUGCUAAUACAGUAUCUAAAUAUUGCCAAUGCAGUGUAUAAUAUGAUCAGAUCUAAAGGGUUAUAACAUAACCAGGUUCAACUGGAAACAUGCAGGUUUAGAGCCUUUGGCCUUGCAGAAAGCACAAUUACAAAGCAGCAAAGCACCUAUGGAGCUACUUUAGGAUUUUAUCUCUGUAUAUGGCUGGAUCUUAGUGCUUUUACUCAACCAUCCAAAAGUGAGUGUUCCCAUCUUAGGGCUGGAUGUACGCUCCAGGCAUCCCUGCUAGGGUGGGAUCCAUCUGGAAGCUGCCUGCAACCUUGGGAGACCAAUUGGCCUAGUCCACAGCUGCAUUUUAUACCCUUUCACAGGCCAAUGUGUAUCAAAAUCACAUCACAGCUCCCCCAUCCCUGGAAUGCAUUAAUUAUGUGAGCAUCCAGACAGUUCCUCCCGCAAUUCCCACCUGAUGUUCUUAUCUUAGGACAAACCAUAUUACCCAUCAGAGACUGCAAGGGAGAGGGGGUGUGUGAGGGCAGGAUGUGCUUUGAGACCCAACUAUCUUUCUUUGCUGUCACAGGGACAAAAUAGAUAUACUGUAGAGUAAGCCUCACCAGUCAGCUAAAUCAUGAUUGGAUGAGCUAUUCUUCUUCUCUGGUGCCCCCAGUCUUGUGCUGCAAGGAUGCUUAAUUUGACCCAAACUGAAGAAAGAUAGGUAGGCUGCAGAAGCGCAGCAGCUUGGUUUGUGUUUUUCCUUUCCUCCCUCGUUCUCUCCUUUUUCAUUUGUGUUUUCCUUUGCUUUCUGUUUAAGAAAAACUUUUUUGAGAUGUCCUUUGGAGAGCUACCAAGACACUGUUAAUAAACAGCUUCCAAAAAGCUGUGUUAGAGACAGCAGGAUGUUGCUGCAGUUUCCAUGUGUCUGUGUGACCAACAGACAAUAUGCUGUCCUGGAAUUCUUCUAGCAGUGAAUUUGCUGUUCAGCGCCAGCACCAGAGAGAGAGGCUGUGCUUCCUUCCCCUGCAGCUCUUGUGCCCAUGCUGCCUGCCUCUCCAGGGAAUGACUGGACUCCAGAAACAGGUCUGGUAGAAGUUCCAGCCCAUGUCAGUGAACUGAAUAACUCUCUCUUCUGAAAUAAAAAAUCCAAUACUUUUUGUUUCUUACUGUGUCUUUAAGCCUGUUAAGCAAUGGUAUUUUCCUCACAUAGACUUUUAACAGGAAACCAAAAUUGGAUUUUUUUAAAAAAUGAAACCCUUACUUUUCUUAAUUCUGAAUAUUUUUAUUCUUUCCCCCCCCCUUAUUUUUUUCUAUCUUUAAUGAAGGGUUUAAAAGAUUUGGUGUGGCUUAUGUUGCCUCAGGAAUAAACAAGCAUUUGAAAUCUCAAACUCUAUCCAAAACUUGUUUAGCAAUAUAGUUUUGUUACAGUGACACAGCACCUUUAAUUCAUUUGAUCCUCUGGAUCUGUUUAUUCUACUGAAAUUUGACUCAGCAAAGUUAAAUCCCCUUAUAUCAUUCUGCAAGACAACUCAUUUUAUGUUUGGAUAGAAACAGCCAAAGCUGCACAAUCAACUCCCCCCAACAUGCCAGUUUGCACUAGUGUGGCUGAAUGGAAAAAGAAAUUGUGGUGGCUUUAUAGAAAUGCACCUAAUUUCUAUGGGAUGCUCAGUGAAUAUCAGAACAAUAGAUGGUGUAUUAACUACUAUGUCUGCUCUUUUUCCUUGGCAUGGGUAGUAUUUUUAUGUAAGGGGAUGGCAGCCUACUCUCAUUAUAUUAAGCAAAAUUCCUCAAUGGAUACCAUGAAGUAAUAAUUUUUUUUUUUAACUUAUUUUUACUUGGUCUUUAGGAAACUGUUCUGUAAUAGCAAGCUCUGGAACAAAAUCUAAAAACCAGGGCAUUUUUCGUGUUUGAAAUGUCUUUCCAUAUGAUUGCAAAUAAUAAAAUUAUGGAAAUAAUUACUCUAUAUCAUCCAAUCAGCAUGAUUUACUCUUCCCUCUUGCUAUAUACUUUUGUGUGCAGAUUUUAUUGUGUCUCUGUUUUGGUUUUAAUAUUUAUAUGUAUUUAUUAACGAGCAAAACAGAGAGCAACCAGUUUUUUAAGGAUGUACUGGAGUGAACCACUACAGGCAAGUUACAUUUAUUUCCAUGUUCAGAAUAUGGAAGGCUAGCAAGGGAUACCUCUUUGCACCUAAAUAUUUUAAGUCCAUUGGAAAAGAAUUACAGGUGGGUCAAAUAAGGUUUUUCUUAUCUUUUUUUUUUCCUUUCACCUCCAUUUUGUGUUAAGCAUUAGAAUCUGUUAAAAACAGAUUACCUUAAGCCUUAAAGCAGUUCUUUCCCUGUUGCAGAGAAAUCUGCUUGAAAUGUGUUCUGCCUUUAUGAUCUCCAGGCUCUAGCCUGGCCAAACAGAUGGAGUGUUUCUACCUGGGCUGUCACUUUGUUUUCCUCUUCUUUCCACUGAGCUAAACCUUGCUCCCUAUGCAACCUGAGGGGAAGGAUUUUAACACAACAUAGAACAACAUCCUUGGCUGAGCAGGUUCCAGAGAGAGCCCAAAAGCUCUCGGUACUCUUCAGUUCCAAUAUACCAGCUCUCAUGGAACCCAAAGUGUAGGUGCACAUCUGCCUUGUUUCCUUCCACUGCCUGAUUACAGCAUUUCCAGCCUCUGCCAAGAUGGUGAUGGCCACAGGACUGCAGCCUGAAGAGGGAAGGACUGAAAUCCUGCUUUCAUCAAGACCAACACAUACAUGAGAGGCAAUCGCCGGUUGCUUAACAGAAGUGAAAAAGAAUGCACUUUUGGUCCUGGACUGUUCUUUGUAAUUUAAUGCGAUCUGCUGUCAACAAGAGGCAAAAUAAACCUCUGACACUCACUAAAGUUUCACACUAGAGAAGUGAGAAGAUAUCACCUGGGACUUCCUUUCCAUGUACAUUCACCUACUACCAUUGCUACUGAUGCUGAUACUGGCUCACUGGGAUUAUCAUUUGCAACAGAGCAUCUGCUUGGUUCCUUCUCAGGUGAUCUCUGUAUUGCUAUUUUCCUGUGUUGACACCUAUUGGAGAAACAGUUUAUACUAGUUUCAGAAACCAUCUCAUUUGAUGAUCUUAUGACUUGCUAUUAUCCCUCACAAAUGUGUUACUUACUGUAUUUCCGCAGUUUCCACCUAUUAAAGCUAAUCAAACAUGCUUCAGUUACUGCCUGUUUCCCCACAUACCCUUUCUAAUGGUGUUUUUGACACUUUUUUGCCUUAGAGAACCUGUAACAUCCUCCUUAGCUUUAAUUCUGGAACCCGUUUCAUCAU